rnacentral:rRNA from 1 species
CAGAGGUCUCAAGCGUUGUUCGGAUUCAUUGGGCGUAAAGGGUGCGUAGGCGGCGCGGUAAGUCGGGUGUGAAAUUUCGAGGCUUAACUUCGAAACUGCAUUCGAUACUGCCGUGCUUGAGGACUGGAGAGGAGACUGGAAUUUACGGUGUAGCGGUGAAAUGCGUAGAUAUCGUAAGGAAGACCAGUGGCGAAGGCGGGUCUCUGGACAGUUCCUGACGCUGAGGCACGAAGGCCAGGGGAGCAAACGGG